rnacentral:rRNA from 1 species
AUAACGUAAGGGAAAAUAAUGAUGUUACCUUACUAUAAGUGUUGUCCAAAUCUGGUGCCAGAAGACUGGUAAGGCCAGGAACGCGAACGUUAGUCAUCUUAAACAGGCGUAAAGGGUGAGUAGGCAACUUUAAAAUUCUAAUUUUUUUAAAAUAGCAAAUAAAAAAGAGGAAAAGUAGAAGAUAGAAUCUAGUAUAGGAAAAAAUAAAAUCGAGAAUAAAGGUUAAAAUCUGCAGUAAACUCGUAGAAUACUAAAGGCGAAGGCAUUUUUCCAAUAAAGAUUGACGCUGAGGAACGAAGGAUAGGGCAAGAAUCAGGAUUAGAUACCCUGGUACUCCUUUCUGUCAACAAUGAAUGGUAGUCACUAAAAAAUAUUAGUGUCAAUGUUAACACGUUAACCAUUCCGCCUUGUAAGUACGAUUGCAAAAUUGAAAA